AUUGAACGCUGGCGGCAGGCUUAACACAUGCAAGUCGAGCGGAGAUGAGGUGCUUGCACCUUAUCUUAGCGGCGGACGGGUGAGUAAUGCUUAGGAAUCUGCCUAUUAGUGGGGGACAACAUUCCGAAAGGAAUGCUAAUACCGCAUACGUCCUACGGGAGAAAGCAGGGGAUCUUCGGACCUUGCGCUAAUAGAUGAGCCUAAGUCGGAUUAGCUAGUUGGUGGGGUAAAGGCCUACCAAGGCGACGAUCUGUAGCGGGUCUGAGAGGAUGAUCCGCCACACUGGGACGGAGACACGGCCCAGAGUCCUACGGGAGGCAGCAGUGGGGAAUAUUGGACAAUGGGGGAAACCCUGAUCCAGCCAUGCCGCGUGUGUGAAGAAGGCCUUAUGGUUGUAAAGCACUUUAAGCGAGGAGGAGGCUACUGAGACUAAUACUCUUGGAUAGUGGACGUUACUCGCAGAAUAAGCACCGGCUAACUCUGUGCCAGCAGCCGCCGUAA
rnacentral:rRNA from 1 species